rnacentral:rRNA from 1 species
UGGGGAAUAUUGGACAAUGGGCGAAAGCCUGAUCCAGCCAUGCCGCGUGUGUGAAGAAGGUCUUCGGAUUGUAAAGCACUUUAAGUUGGGAGGAAGGGCAGUAAGCGAAUACCUUGCUGUUUUGACGUUACCGACAGAAUAAGCACCGGCUAACUCUGUGCCAGCAGCCGCGGUAAUACAGAGGGUGCAAGCGUUAAUCGGAAUUACUGGGCGUAAAGCGCGCGUAGGUGGUUCGUUAAGUUGAAUGUGAAAGCCCCGGGCUCAACCUGGGAACGGCAUCCAAAACUGGCGAGCUAGAGUAGGGCAGAGGGUGGUGGAAUUGCCUGUGUAGCGGUGAAAUGCGUAGAUAUAGGAAGGAACACCAGUGGCGAAGGCGACCACCUGGGCUGAUACUGACACUGAGGUGCGAAAGCGUGGGGAGCAAACAGG